AUGGCCUGGUUCAGGAAAUACCAAGUAAAGCAGGGCACCUCAAUGUGCCACUUCAAGGUCUAUGUCCAGCGCAGUGACACAGCCAUAGAAAAAGCCUUCCUCGUCUUUUUGUGGAAUGAUAUGUUUACUGUAGCUUGUCUUGUCUUGCAACCAUUCCAACCUGUAUUUCAGUCUGCAUCACUUUGCUUGGCCUAUACCUUGCAUGUAGAUGUCUACCCACUAUAUAUCUGUCGUUUGUAGCUUUUAAAUGUAGAUUGUGUUUAACCUAGAUUCCUAAUCUCUACCAACACUGAUCAUAACUAAACCAAAAUGCAUUGGCUGUUAACAUGUUUUGAAGCUGAAGCUCUAUUCUGGUUUAAAUUAUUUCACUUAUUUCUCUGAAAUAUUUUGUGAGACUAACUCCUGUGCUCCUGUAGCAGUUCCUACUGCUCCCACUCCCACCGCCCCCCCCUGCUGUGCUAGCUCUUACUUCCCCUCAGCCACAGUCAACCUCCCAGCCAACAGCUGGACCAGUUCAGCCUGCUGCUGACGCUCAGCAGGUCUGAGGAAUGGAAGCAGAUCCUCCCAAAGGAGCAGCAAGAGUUGGUCAGUCGGGCCAAUUUCACAAAGGACAAGCAGCUCAAAUGUGUCCUGAAAAGCCAGCUCGAGCUGUGGUACUCCCCUCCUCUGCCUCCUAACAUCAUCCAUCAGCCUCCAGCUUCUCCCACCGCCUACUUCCUCCAGCCGUUCUGCCUCUGGAUGCCCUACCGCCUUUGGGCCUUUAAGUUUGUUUGCACCCAGCUACAGUGCAAGCUUUAAAAGCUCAGGCUGUGGGGUGUACAAGAAGGUCUGGAGGGAGCUUGACGUGGAUGACUGGUAUUAUAUGGGGACAGAAUACCUGGAGUGCCGCAUCUGUAAGAGGAAGCUAGCAGGAUGGUCGCUGGAUGUCUUGAACCAGCUGGACGCAAGUCAUCGCUCUAAGUUCCCAGCCAUCUUGACUUACAGGCUGUCCUGUGACCUGAAGGUGGUCAGGCUGAUGAGAGAGAGGACACUGGGGAACAGUGUGACCCGGCUGUACAACCAGCUGAGGGAGCAGCACAGCCUGACCUGGAUGAGUCGGACCCUGGACUACCUGUCCGUCUGUGACCACUUUGUAGUCCCAGGUGCAGCACCGCUGAGGGUAACACCUCCUCCUCCCUUUUUGGAUGUGCCCUCAGCCCAGUGGCUGCUGACUGUCCACGGCUAUGACGUUUUGUUCCAGCUAGAGGACUUCAAGGCCAGAGUCACCUCCACCUUUGGUUCCAUCCUGAAGAUGGAUUCAACCAAGAAGGUGACCAAGAAACUAGCUGGGGCAGCACAAGGGACAGCAGCGUGGGCCACAAACAUGGGCAAUGAGUAAGGCCAGGUACUCAUUACGGUCCUCACUGACAGCGAAGGAGAGGAUCAGCUCAACAUGGCAGCUGGCCUUCAGCAGCACUACAUUAGAACUGGAGUGGCACCUCCUAAGCUUCUCUAUGUCGACCGGGACUGCUGCACCCUGAUGGGAAAGGGGAAGACGGCAGCCAUGUUCAGCCAGUGGGAUGAGCUCAUCGUCCGGCUGGAUGUGUGGCACCUCAUCUGUUGUUUUGCUCGGGGAGUGACCACAGAGAGCCAUCCUCUGUAUGCUCUCUUUUUGCGGCGGCUCUCCUCCUGCAAGUUGGUGUGGUGUGCAGAUGAUGUGGAGCGCCUGCGGGAGACCAAGCGAGGGGAACUCGAGGAGAGCCACAACACGGGGCUCAGCGAUGCACUGGUGAUGAAAAGAAUCAGCUCGAAGGAGAUGGCUCGGCACUGUCGUCACCGCACGAGAGGGGCGGAGGAGACCGAGCGUCUCAUCGGGGAGCAGACACCAUUGGCAUCCGGCUCCUGGACCGUGACAGAAUGCAGGCCAUCUGGCAGACCCAGAGACAACACCUGGUCUGCAUUCAGGACCCCCCUGGUGUCAGCAUCUACACCAACAAGGAUGUGACCAAGGGAGGGGUCAUCCUGCCUGUGUUGUGCUGCUCAUGAUCAAGUACGUGUGCCGAGCACUUUCAGACCUACCUCCUUGAAGGGUUGGUUGGGUGGAAUGAGGACUGUGCCGAAGCUGCAGGGGAGGGAGGCAGAAGCAGACCCUGCACCGCUAUGAUGGUGUAGCUCAGUACACCAUCAAUGAGCUGAGGCAGAAGCUCAUGGGCUGCAGUCUUGUGAAGGAUCACACAAGGCCUGCAAAGUACACUGGGGAACUCAUUGGGGUCGAGUAUCUCUUCUCCCAGACCCAUGGUGACCAGAGGUUGGAGUCCAACCUCGGUCGCAGUUGUAAAUGAGAACGUGUUCUCAACUAGCCUCCCUGGUUAAAUAAAGGUGAAAUAAAUAAAACAUUUGAGGGAGGAGGACGACCUGGGAGCGCUUGAGGAGGAGGAUGAUCUCCUUGCACGCGCUCAAUGACAGUCUCCCACCAGUCCCUCCACUCAGGAAGGCCACUCCACCGCCCACUGAGCCCACUCAACCCAUCCCAGGUACCUGUCAUCACACCCCCUGAUGACACUACGGAAGAGGUGGACACUGCACCCGCUGCCAGUCAGGACACAGAGGAUGACUUAAGUGCCUAUCCACAUCCUAAACAGCUCACAUUGCUUAAGUUUCCUUUCAUUCAUUAACUAUUAAUCUGACUAGUAAUCCAACCCUUCCCCAUGACUCUUCUAUUUCCAGGAGUACAUAGGACCCGAAGGGGUUUAGUGGAUACCAGCACGUGGUCCUCCUGGCCAACAGUCUGCUGAGGCUGCUGGAGGGGCCGUGGAUCUCUAAUAGGCAAAUAGAGGAGAUCAUGGCUCUCUGGGGAAAUCUUCCAGAGAGAGACAAGGCGGCAGUCUCCUACCCCGAGAGGUUCCGGGACUGAGUCCUGCAGGGGCGCUUCAACAAUUCAAAGAGCUCAACCGUGACGGGGGAAGAGAGUAUGAAGCGCUACCGCUUGGGCAAGGCUCUGGACUUGCUCAGUGGCCCAACACCAGCAGGAUAGUAGAGGCCAUUUUUGUUAGGCUGUGCCACAAACAUCCUGCUGGCAAGAUGGUGCUUGGAAACCGGGUCAACAGGUGGGUUGCCAUCCUGGGGGACUACAGGAGAAUCAGGAUCAUGGUGCUGGGCAGCCCAAACUUGAAUACCGACACAAGGCUGCAACUGUUUGAGGUCAACAAGUUGACCUUGACACAGUGACAAGAAACAGAUACCAGCUUGUCCCCCCCUCCCCCACACCUGAAAUUCAGCAGUCCAUGUUGGCCCCCAGUUCUGAACAGCCCCC